rnacentral:rRNA from 1 species
UACGUAGGGGGCUAGCGUUGUCCGGAUUUAUUGGGCGUAAAGAGCGUGUAGGCGGCCAGGUAGGUCUGCUGUGAAAACUCGAGGCUCAACCUCGAGAUGUCGGCGGAAACCAUCUGGCUAGAGUCCGGAAGAGGAAAGUGGAAUUCCUGGUGUAGCGGUGAAAUGCGUAGAUAUCAAGAGGAACACCUGCGGCGAAGGCGGGUUGCUGGGCCGACACUGACGCUGAGGCGCGAAAGCCAGGGGAGCGAACGGG